rnacentral:rRNA from 1 species
CGUCCCAGUUCGGAUUGUAGUCUGCAACUCGACUACAUGAAGCUGGAAUCGCUAGUAAUCGCGGAUCAGAAUGCCGCGGUGAAUACGUUCCCGGGUCUUGUACACACCGCCCGUCACACCAUGGGAGUCGGAAAUGCCCGAAGUCUGUGAACCCAACCUUAGGGAGGGAGCAGCCGAAGGCAGGUCGGAUGACUGGGGUGAAGUCGUAACAAGGUACC